CCUACGGGCGGCAGCAGUGGGGGAUAUUGCACAAUGGGGGGAACCCUGAUGCAGCGACGCCGCGUGGGUGAAGAAGCGCUUCGGCGCGUAAAGCUCUGUCAGCAGGGAAGAAAAUGACGGUACCUGAAGAAGAAGCCCCGGCUAACUCCGUGCCAGCACCCGCGGUAAUACGGAGGAUGCGAGGGUUACCUGGUUUUAUUGGGUUAAAAGGGUUCGUAGGCGGACUGGAAAGUCUGAGGUAAAAUCGGGGGGCUAAACCUCGUUCCGCCGUUGAAACUGUCGGUCUUGAGUGGGCGAGAAGUAUGCGGAAUUCCUAGUGUAGCGGUGGAAUGCGUAGAUAUUAGGAGGAACAUCAGUGGCGAAGGCGACUUUCUGGACUGUAACUGACGCUGAGGCACGAAAGUGUGGGGAGCAAACAGGAUUAGAUACCCGAGUAGUC
rnacentral:rRNA from 1 species